GCCCUUUCAUUCUCCAGAGAUGCAAUUCUUCUGGUAACAGCAGCAGGAGAUGACAUGAUUUGUGUGUGGGAUUGUGAAGACGGAAAGUGUAAGAAGAUUCUUAAGUGUGAGCUGGAAUUCAUCUUUAGUUGCCAAUUUUCUUCUUCCGAAACCAUUCUGGUUGCAGGCACGUCUGAUUAAGUACUGUGAAUAAC